rnacentral:rRNA from 1 species
UACGUAGGGGGCAAGCGUUGUCCGGAAUCAUUGGGCGUAAAGCGCGUGUAGGCGGCUUCGUAAGUCCGUUGUGAAAGUCCAGGGCUCAACCCUGGAAUGCCGAUGGAUACUGCGGAGCUAGAGUCCGGGAAGAGGCGAGUGGAAUUCCUGGUGUAGCGGUGAAAUGCGCAGAUAUCAGGAGGAACACCAAUGGCGAAGGCAGCUCGCUGGGACGGUACUGACGCUGGAGACGCGAAAGCGUGGGGAGCAAACAGG